GGAAUAGAGAAGCCGUGGAUGCCUGCCCCAUCCACAUCUCACUAACCCCUUCUCUGUUGUUUGCACACUGCCUCAGCUGGGGCUCCUGUGUGCUGUGCUUUCUGCAGAAGAGCCACACAGCCUCAAGGUCAUGGAGGCUGUGAACAUGGGUGGGACCAAGAUGCAGCUCAGAAACAGGGUCUGUGCCUGGAGGAACCCCAUCUAAGCAGAAAGACACCUUCUCUGUGCACCUUUCUUCAAUGUCUCCAUCCUACUCUCUGCAGCAGUGUCCUUCAGGCACCCCUCAUGUUUCAUUACAGCCACAGGAAUCAGGCAAUUUUCUGCAUCUGACCUAGAACACAAUAGAGAGUUCCGGCUCUGCUGUGGAUGGAGAGACAGAGCUGGUUCUUUCCAGCUUCUCACUAGGAAGGAAUGGGAAGUAUCUGCCCAGGUGCAUGAGCAUGUGCCUGUGGAAGAAGUGGCGCAGGUACUUCCGGAACCUCUCUCCAACAAAGGCGUAGAUCACCGGGUUCACGCAGCAGUGGGAGUAGGCGAUCACCUCUGUCACCGACAUGACCAGGUCCAGAUGCUUGCUCCGCUCACAGUCAUUUCCAAAAAAGAUGGAUCGAUAGGAAGAGAGAAGGAUAGCCACAUUGUAGGGUGUCCAGAAAAUGAAAAACACUGCCAUGAUGACAAAAAUGAGAUGGAUGGCCUUGUACUUUUUUUUACUGGGGCACUUCAGCAGCGUUUUGAUGAUUCCUGUGUAGCAGAUGGCCAUAACGAUCAGAGGGAGAACGAGACAGAAGGUGGUCAUUCUCAGAGUGUGGAAAUGCCUCCAGCUAUAUACUGUAUCCUCUGGGUAAACAGCACUGCAAAAAGUCUCUUCAACCAACUCUUCAAUCUCAUUGAAGAUAAAUUCAGGAAGAGCUGCUAGCACUGCCAGGCCCCAGGUGACGAUGCUGGUGAUGACACCAAAAGUGACAGUUCGGGCUCGAAGUGCAAACACAGCAUGGACAAUGGCCAGGUACCUGUCGAUCGUCAGCAGGAUUAUGAAAAAGAUCUCACUGUACAAGCCCGUGUAAUAAAACCCUGAGAGGAGCUUACACAAGCCAUGGCCGAAAACCCAGUUAUGCCCCCUGAUAUAGUGGAUCCAGAACGGAAGGGUGAAGAGGAAGAGCAGGUCCGAAAUAGCCAGGUUGAGCAGGUAGAUGUUGGUCAUAAUUCGGAGCCUCCUGUAUUUUAUGAGGAUCAUCACCACCACCACAUUGCCCAAGAGACCCACAAUGAACACCAGGGAGUACAGCGGGGGCACGAACUGGGCCAUCAGCGCUCUGGUGUCGGCUUUUUCACAGAGUAGGCCCAUGUCAUCAUAGUAGAAUGUGGUACCAAAGGUCUCAACCGCAUCUAGUGAGGUUGUCAUUUCACUUCUCCCUGUGAUAGAAGAAGAAAAAUACAAUCCCACAAUUAAGCAUAAUCACCCUUUGUAAAACACACCAGUUGCUUUAUUCAUGUACUCAACAAAGAUGCCACAUGUGAUAGCAGCCUAGGGAUUCUUUAACAUGAAUUUCAAAAGGUAUAUCAGAAGUGCCAGGAGAGGGGUUCAGGAAGGAAAGAGCUGAAGCUUUCAAAGUCAGCAUGACCCGGGAUGGGAAAAGGAACAGAAAUGUUGUGGGGUGGUGGUGAAGAAUGGGGAUACUGUUUCUGAAAGCAUUUCAAGGAAGAAAUACAAAAUAGGAAAAAACAGGCUGGACAAUGAUAACAAUAUAAUCAUUAUUAUUACUACAGUCUCAUGACAUUUUGCAUUUUAUGUUUUACAGUUUAUAUAUACUUUAAAAAUCCUUAUCCAUUUAAAAGCAAAAUAUGUAUAAUAAUAAUAACAAUGAUUAUUACAAUUUCAAGUAACUAUGCUUCUCCAGGGCCCAUAAUGAUGUGCCAUUCAUUAUAGUUAAUGGGGAAAUUGAACCUUGAAGAAAUUUAGUAAUUUGUCCAAAAUCCUCUAACAAGUAAAUAUAAAAUUUGGGAUAGAUCUUUAGUAUCUAUCCAUGUCCAUUUCUCCUGUCACUAGAUUCGAAUGUAGUGAUUUUUAAAUUUAACUUUUGAAAAAUUUGCUAUGGACUUGAGGAACCUGGUUUGUGUGCUCUUAACAGCAUUCUUAUUCCAAAUGGAAUAAUCCAAUCCACAGCAGCUGUGAAAAAAAUACACCUUUUUUCUGUUACACAUGUACAAUCACAGUAAUUAACUAUUACAAUAAUUACAAUUAUAAGCAGCAUUGGUUUAGGUUACUUUCCUUUUCCUGCUCCUGGUGAUGCUGAGUUAGGCUGGUAAUGUGCCAAAAGCAAACCCCUGGGAGCUUCUCCUUCACAAAAGGGUAAGCAGGAGGGGUCAGUCAAUGGGAUUUCUUACUGGACUCGGUAUUUCUUAGGCCAGGAGCCCUAAGGCUAGUGCCUGCUUUUCUUGAGAUUAUAGACUUCGGUGGAAAAGGAGGAAAAUAGAAAACAGAUAAGGCAGGAGUGGUAGAAGGACAGUUAAGCCAUGCACUGGUUCCUCAGAGGGCAUCCAACUGACUUUCUCCGUCCUAGCAGGAAGGGACAAGGGUGAAGAUGUGAAUACACAGGCUGAUGGGCGUUUCUCAAGGUAAAUCUGAGAAAUGCUUAAUAACUGGGGCCAAUGCAGGGAAUUGUUUUUGCUUCUUAAUAGAAUAAUUGAUCGAAUACUGAGGCCCCACAUGUUGGGGUUCUGUGUGGUCAAAGUCAGUGAGAAUAGAGAUGGAAAUGGACCAGUCCUAGCGCCUCUCAGCUGCAUGCCUUGGACAAGCCCUUAACACAGAGCCUCCUCUACUUAUAUCCAAAGUGAAGACCAUUGGGUCACUUGGGGUUGUCAUGAGGAUAAAUGAGAGUGUAUGUGAGUUCACAUUUGAAACCAGAAAAAGCUGUAAAACUGGUAGGAAGCAGGAAUGAAAGAAGGACAAUUAGAAGCCAUUUCAAAUGAAAUUAGGAAAAAUAGGGUCCCUCGGGUGGACCUUGUUGAUCUCUUUUCAUGGGUCUGUCCAGGUACAUCUCCCACUGAUCAACAGCACGUUCCAGGCUUUUGAGGAGGAAAAUGGACUUGAGGAACAAAUGGUUUGUGUGUGCUCCUAUCAGCAUUCUUAUUCAUAAUAGCAUAAUCCAAUCCAUAGCAGCUGAGAAAAAAAAUACACAUUUUGUCAGUUACACAUGUACAAUCAUAGAGAGUGUCCUUCUAUACUUCAGCAUCUAAAGCAAGAAAAGAACAGAACUGCUUAUUCUGGAGAACAAAGGUAUAGUAGCCUGUAUUCACCGUUAAUUAUUUGUAUUUAUUUUCCUUUUCUCCAAUAGUGAUUUAAAAACAGGUCAAACUUUAAAAAAAGUACUUAAGUUUUGCUCAAAUUGAGGGUAGUGUCUUUAAUUCAUGUGUUAUUUCUAUAAAAUCAACAUGAUCAGGAUGAUAAACCAUAGAACGUUUUGGUUUGGGUUUCAGGGCUGCCUAUGAGCUUUUAGCACUAAAGUUCAAAGCUCAAGAAAGCAUGCAGGUCCUCCAGAGUCAGCAGCCAAGUCUUUGAUUACUAGCUGCAUGGGAUCAGAGAUAGAAAAUCUCAUAUGGGCAGGGGACCUUGGUUCAUGCCUGUAAUCCCAGUACUUUGGGAGGCCCAGGUGGGAGGCUUGCCUGAGCCCAGGAAUUCAAGACCAGCCUGGACAAUAUAGUGAGACCCUCUCUCUACAAAAAAAAUAAGAAAUUAGCCAGGCAUGGUGGCACAUACCUGUGAUCCCAACUACUUGGGGGGCUGAGGUGGGAGAAUCCCUUGAGCCUAGGAGGUUGAGGCUGCAGUGAACUGUGAUCACGCCACUGUACUCCAGCCUGGGUGACAGAAUAAGACCCCGUCUCAAAAAUAAAAAAAAUUAAAAACCUGAUAUGGUUUUCAUCUGUCUACCCAGUCUCAAUCAAGAUGAAUAUUUAGAUAUAAAAUAGUCAAGAGGUUUGAAUUAGGCUUUCAAAAUGGCCUUUUGCAUUUUGGAAAAUGAUAGGGUAAUCAUAAAUAAGU